GAUGAACGCUAGCUACAGGCUUAACACAUGCAAGUCGAGAGACCGGCGCACGGGUGAGUAACACGUAUCCAACCUUCACUUUCCUCGGGGAUAGCCUUUCGAAAGAAAGAUUAAUACCCGAUAUAAAGGAUGGGGAUGCGUUCCAUUAGGUUGUUGGGAAGGUAACGGCCCACCAAGCCUUCGAUGGAUAGGGGUUCUGAGAGGAAGGGACCCCAGAUGUGAAAUGCGACACAGGCCAAACUAGUACGGGAGGAAGCAGUGAGUAAGAGUGGUCAAUGGGCGCUAGCCUGAACCAGCCAAGUAGCGGGAAGGAUGAAGGCUUAUGGGUCGUAAACUGUUUUUAUAUAAGAAUAUGUAUUAUAUGAAUAAGGAUCGGCUAACUCCGUGCCAGCAGCCGCGGUAAUAC
rnacentral:rRNA from 1 species